CCUGGCGGCAAUAGCGCGGUGGUCCCACCUGACCCCAUGCCGAACUCAGAAGUGAAACGCCGUAGCGCCGAUGGUAGUGUGGGGUCUCCCCAUGC
rnacentral:rRNA from 4 species